AUAUAUAUAUAUAUAUGGUUUUCCCUAUUACAUUUAGAAAGCAUUGUGAUGUUUCUGCUCAGGCAGCUCAGACGGAUGACCCUCUGAAGUACGCAGUUGCCACAGUUCUGGUAAGGGUUCUUGCAGAAAACAAGUUUCCCCCACAAUUCAGCCGCUCAGCAUAUCGUGGCUUCGUCAGCGAGAGCACAAGUCCGGCUUCACUCGUCAUGACGUACGCCAACAAAUUACUCAUCCUGGAGGCCACAGAUCAAGACUUUACCAACGUACGUGACUACAAAACCACAAACACACUGACAACAUCCAGUUUCAACAUCACAAAGCCACUGUUUUGACACUCAUUGCAUAAAAUAAGGAUUUAUGUUCCAGUUUAAGCCUAAGAAAUCGAGUUUUGCUGUAUGUUUGUGGGUUAAAGGGCUUCAAUCCCAGACUGCAGUAUUCUCUAAACUCCCAAAUCAACAGCUCUCGGCUCUUUUACAUUACACAAGAAGCUCUGCUCAUCGCUAAAACCAGCCAGCUGCACCCCGGACACAAAUACUUCCUAGAGGUAUGCCAGCAACACCGUUCAUAAGCACUAUGCUAAUCAUAAUUUUUACAACUAUUGCAUAUUUUUAACAACUGUGUUGCAGGUAUUGGCCACUGACCUGGAGUCAGGAGAUACUGUUAAAGCUACAUUGCAUGUGGAAGUUCUUCAAAGAGGCCAAACAGUCCCACAGGGCCCGUUGGGGGUAGGUUAUCCAUACAGUCGUGAGACAGUGGGCAGGGCAGAGGGUGUGGCAGGGGUGUGUCUGAUCCUGCUGGCCAUUACCUUAUUUACUGUGGUGCGGUGCAUCCGGAUGAGCAGAGAGAAGCGGGAUCACGUCAUACGCAACACUGUGGCUGACAGCACACACCCUAAUGUGAAACUGCGGUGGUUCCAGAUGGUGAACCACAGCGCACCAAUGCCUUUAAUGGAGGACACAUUUUCACGUCACAACGAGGCGUUCAGCGAAUACGACUACUCCACUUCACCCUUCUACGGCAAACAGGGCAUCUACACCAAAACAGAAGAACCACCACCAUCAUCAUCAUCAUCUGCUGCAAACUUACCAUCAAUAACAUUUAACAAAUCCCUAUUAAAAGAACCAAGACGCAAUUAUCUGGCGCUGCGGCCCAACGGGAGACCCGUGCACAGAUUCAACAAUAAAACAGUGUCAUUUCAGGACUACGUCGUGGUUCGCGAAUGUGACGAGGAGAGUGAAGAAACCACCACCUUCACAACCGAAGUAGAAGUCUGCUCGGAUUUUGAGGAAAUUAACAUGGAUUAUGGAUUAGAAAAUGGCGAUUCGGAUGUCACCGAAGAACUUGAAAUACAAAGUCCCACUUCAUAUUGUGACGAUGCAUCAGAAAUGCUUAAUACACAAGUCGACCAAGACUAUGAAACUGCCAUUGCAAAUCAGACCGAUUCUGAAGAUAUUCAUGCAGAUCCACCACAAAAAGUAUCUGGAAUACACAGAAUUAAGUCUGACCUGGAGAAAAUACACAGAGACUCGACUUUAACUCCAGAACGAGACCAUUCGCCAUCGCAAAAAACUCAUUCAGAAGAUGCUGCGUUCUCCAGUUUUAAAGGAGAGUCGCAAAUAAUAAACACUAAAGCCUUGGUUUCCUAUAAACAUUCAGAAAACGUUCAGUCAGAUUGUGUCAGACAGUCUGACGAUCUCACUGUAGAUGCUGUGGUUUCAGGAGCUGAAAGUUCUGUGCAAAACACUCAAGAUGCAAGUAACUUCACCGCUGAUCUACAAACUCAUGACUCCUAUUACAUUAACGAGGACAUCGCAACUAAUUUAGACGACAGCAGUCCAGGAGAGCAGUCCGGGUCUAGUUCAGAUUCAAGCAGUCAACAACUGAACUAUCUUCAGGUUCUUCAGUUUUUCGACAAACAUCUUGACGAUGAUGGCGAUUAA
ensembl:lincRNA